UACGAAGGGGGCUAGCGUUGUUCGGAAUUACUGGGCGUAAAGCGUGCGCAGGCGGCUUUGCAAGACAGAUGUGAAAUCCCCGGGCUCAACCUGGGAACUGCAUUUGUGACUGCAUGGCUGGAGUGCGGCAGAGGGGGAUGGAAUUCCGCGUGUAGCAGUGAAAUGCGUAGAUACGCGGAGGAACACCGAUGGCGAAGGCAAUCCCCUGGGCCUGCACUGACGCUCAUGCACGAAAGCGUGGGGAGCAAACAGG
rnacentral:rRNA from 1 species